rnacentral:rRNA from 1 species
CCCACCUGAUCCCAUGCCGAACUCAGUAGUGAAACGUAACAGCGCCGAUGGUAGUGUGGGGCCUCCCCAUGUGAGAGUAGGACAUCGCCAGGCUU